rnacentral:lncRNA from 1 species
GAACAUUUCCAAAUAGUAGUACCAUAUUUGAAUUCUACUACUUCUCGGCUUUUCAAAAUGGUAUUUGAAAUUUGAAUCCAAAACUAUUUGCAACAACAGAAAACAGGAAAAAGGAAAAUAAAAUAAAAAGGAAAGCCUUACCUACUUACCUCAGGCCCGAGCCAGCCCAGCAGCCGCCUCGGCCCAGCCUCGCGCGCGCUCCCCGCAGACCAGCCGCUCAGCCACGCCGCC